UAGUUAUUUAUUGUUUCAUUUCCCAUCAUGGAAUAUGAUGUUGCAUUUUUCUUUAUGGUUUGAACAACUUUCCAUUGUCAGAUUGGAACCUAUUGCCUUAAGGUAUGAUAAAUAAUGACAUUAGAGUGUCUGGAUUGGUUGGUCUCAGGUUGGAUUUAAUUUGACUUAGUAUCGUUUUUUUUUUUUUUACAUGCAAGCAGAUGAAGCCUUUAAUUUGGAAAAUUUGGGAAAUUAAUUCGAUCCCAUCUAGAGUUGCACUAGUUAUUUAUAAUUCUGAUAUACUUAUGUUCUGUAGGAGUGUUUCUGGGUUGUAAAUGUCUUCCCCCUCUCCACCCCCGGCCACCUCUCUUCUUGGGGAGCACUUUUGCAGGAAUGGAAUGUGUUUGUCACAAUGAAAGUGGUUUUGUACUUUUGCAGGAGUGGAAUGUGUUUGUCAACAUGAAAGUGGUUUUUCACUUUAUAGGAGUGCAGUGUGUUUGUUAACAUAAAAUUGUUUUUGUACUUCUUCAAUACUGUGCAACCUCUAUCUCCAUCUCCAUCUCCACUUAAGAGGUCUUUUCUUAUCAUAAGUUAGUUAGAGAAUAAUGUUUUUUAGGUUUCUUUAGGAAGAAGUGGAAAAGCUUGUAGUUUUGCUUUUUUAACUGUAGUGCCCUUGACUAGGGUUGGGGACCUUCUUUCGCUAUUUAUUUUUCAUGUUUGUGGCUUUCUGCAGGUCGAAAUGGUGAAACCAUAUCGUGGUUCAUCAACAUCUUCUCCGGCAGCACUGAAGAUGUAAAAUAAGUAAAGGGGGAGGUGCGACACGUGACAUUCAAAAGAUCCUACUUCAAAGCAAAGGACUCGACACCAACUCAAGACACCUACUUAGAAGGAUGAACCAGGGGUUUCACACUUAAUUUGGACUAGGAUUUCAUUACACUUGUCCCAUAAAAGAGGAAAGAAGGAACAAAAUAAAUGAGAGUCUUGGCCAAAGCACCCUCCGGCCUCUUUUUUGUAGGACUCUCCCGGAGUUGACGGUCGACUUUUGGCUGCAACAGUUGGCGCCGUCCGUGGGAAGGAAAUUGCAGUGAUAACCAUAGGAUCUGUCUCUGGAAAACAGUGGCAAUGGCGAAUCUAUUCCAAAAGGGGUUUUUGAGUCAAAGAGUAGCAAGAGAGUAACCUCACUGUCAACUCCAUUUCUCAAGUUUGAGUUUUCUAGAGAUCUGGGUCCACCUGAGCGCGAGGAGGACAUCCAGAUCUGGUUUCCAUGCCGCCAACCAUGGUUUAAAGUAUUCACCAAGGCACCAGAAGACUUUCCGAACUUGGGAUGCUUGCUGGGGGUUGUAUGAGCGGUAAUGUCCACGUAUGGUUCAAAGUAGUAGAUUCAAAGACGAGUGCAAGCUUCGCCUCUGAAACAAAAUCAGGGGAGUAAUGAUACAUAUUUUCUCUGCCUGUCUUUAAAUUAAUUUAUUCACUCUAUAUUUGUUCUGUUGAUUAACUUAGAUUAUUAUGGAGAGAUAGCUUAGUUUGAACUGCCUCAAA